rnacentral:misc_RNA from 1 species
AACGCACCUUGCGCUCCUUGGUAUUCCGAGGAGCAUGCCUGUUUGAGUGUCAUUAAAUUCUCAACUACACCUUUGUUUUAACAUAUGGUCGUGGAUUGGAUGUUGGGGGUAUACCUGCGGGCCUCUCCCAUUGAGGUCGGCUCCCCUGAAAUGCAUUAGCGGAACCGUUUGCGGUCAGUCACCGGUGUGAUAAUUAUCUACGCCACAGACAAAGGCUGCUCUCUCAGUGUUCAGCUUCUAAUUGUCUAUCUAUAGACAACUUUUGAAUAUUUGACCUCAAAUCAGGUAGGACUACCCGCUGAACUUAA